rnacentral:rRNA from 1 species
UACGGAGGGUGCAAGCGUUAUCCGGAUUCACUGGGUUUAAAGGGUGCGUAGGUGGGUAGGUAAGUCAGUGGUGAAAUCUCCAAGCUUAACUUGGAAACUGCCAUUGAUACUAUUUAUCUUGAAUUUUCUGGAGGUGAGCGGAAUAUGUCAUGUAGCGGUGAAAUGCUUAGAUAUGACGUAGAACACCAAUUGCGAAGGCAGCUCACUACGGGAAUAUUGACACUGAGGCACGAAAGCGUGGGGAUCAAACAGG